rnacentral:rRNA from 1 species
AUACGGAGGGGGCUAGCGUUGUUCGGAAUUACUGGGCGUAAAGCGUACGUAGGCGGACUGGAAAGUUGGGGGUGAAAUCCCGGGGCUCAACCCCGGAACUGCCUCCAAAACUUCCAAUCUAGAGAUCGAGAGAGGUGAGUGGAAUUCCAAGUGUAGAGGUGAAAUUCAUAGAUAUUUGGAGGAACACCAGUGGCGAAGGCGGCUCACUGGCUCGAUACUGACGCUGAGGUACGAAAGCGUGGGGAGCAAACAGGAUUAGAAACCCUAGUAGUCC